UACCAGACUCCUACGGGAGGCAGCAGUGAGGAAUAUUGGUCAAUGGCCGGAAGGCUGAACCAGCCAAGCCGCGUGAGGGAGGAAGGCGCAGAGUGUCGCAGACCUCUUUUGCCGGGGGACAAAAGGCCGGACUCGUCCGGUCCUGAGGGUACCCGGAGAAAAAGCAUCGGCUAACUCCGUGCCAGCAGCCGCGGUAAUACGGAGGAUGCGAGCGUUAUCCGGAUUUAUUGGGUUUAAAGGGUGCGUAGGCGGGCAUUUAAGCCGGCGGUCAAAUGUCGGGGCUCAACCCCGGCCUGCCGUCGGAACUGGGUGCCUUGAGUGGGCGAGAAGUAUGCGGAAUGCGUGGUGUAGCGGUGAAAUGCAUAGAUAUCACGCAGAACCCCGAUUGCGAAGGCAGCAUACCGGCGCCCUACUGACGCUGAGGCGCGAAAGCGUGGGUAUCGAACAGGAUUAGAUACCCCCGUACUG
rnacentral:rRNA from 1 species